AUUCCCCUGCAGUCCAUACAUCCCCAGCCCGUGCACCUUCUCAUCCUCCUCUUCACCGGAGUACCCCUUUGAGUAUCUAUUACCAGCAUCAGGUGAAACUAAGGAAGUGACGCCAGUGGAACGCAUGGUGGAUCGGUGGAGCGCAUUGCAUGUCAGGUGAUUCAGUACUAGCCGGAAGCUGCGUGACUAAAGAGAGGGAUCAUGUGACUAUAUCGGAAGUACAGAGAGACACCGGGAACUGGAUGGAGCGCGGAGAGCUUUUGGUAUCUCCAUAAUUUUUGAGGAUCGCUAAAGUCCAAAAAAGAAUAAAAAGAUUUACCGAAUGUACCUGAAUACUAAAUGUAUCCGAAAAAUAAGACUGAACACCCCAAUACCGAAUGUAUCCGAAAAAUCAAAACCGAAAAUAUUACCCAACCGAAAAAUGUUUCCAAAACGAAAAAAUUAAAUGAAACGAAACGAAAAUGUUUCUAGUGCACAAGUCUACUGCUGACACAUUCUAUGUUUCUAUAAAAUAAUGA